rnacentral:lncRNA from 1 species
AAGAAACAAGAAAAUAAAAGAGCUUAAUUUUCCGUUGGCUGGAAAUCAUGUUCAUAUGAUCUAAAGUAGCUAUUAAAAUCAAAAUACCAGAACAAGCUUAAAACCAUGGCCCUUGUUUGAUGUUUAUAAAAGACAAAGAGGCCAGGUUCACAUUACCAAAAUAUAAGAACCAAAUACGUGAAAUAUUAAAUUUGACAUGUAGAAUCCAGAUGUAGCUCAGAUAACAAUCAAAUGUAUAUUAUUGGGCAACGAUGGACACUUUCAAGAGGGUUAAAUGACAAGUGGGAAACCCAUUAGUCAAAUUUCCUUCUCUCUCUUCAUUUUUCCAGACAUGUAACAAUCUCCACCACAAUAACACGGUAGACAUCUGACUUAAGUCUGAUUUCAUAUAGAUCUAACAAAUGAGAAAUAAAUACAUGACUCGAUUUGUUUAAGAUGUACAGCCUCUUGCAAAAGAAAUCAUAAGAAAAACCAAAAUGUUCCGUUCAUUGGAUGGAAAUCAUCUUCACAGACAAAUUGAACCAAAAUGCCAAAACAACAACAUUUAAGCCGGAUCAUCAUCAUAGUUUUUAAAGAAACCAAAAGUUUUUAAAGCCGGAUCAUCAUCAUAGUUUUUAAGGAAAUACAGGGGGAAAACCGAGUGAACUCUCGACUAUGGUUCUUCACGGCCAGCAAAGUUGAUAUAUACAAACCAUUUAAAAUGGCGUAGGUUAUGUAAAUCCAUUGCAUGUAUCACCAAAAACAAAAAUGGAAAGCUAAAGACACAUCUCUCUGCAUAUAUUAUCAGCACAAAGACACUAUUGUUCAAAAAUGUAAAUGGUAUUUCGUCUGACAUGUUUCUUCUAUUCACAAAACAGACUUUCAGGUUAUUUGUUGGUAAAGAGAUCAAGGUCGAAUUACCAAAUUACAUGAAGUCGAAUGUGUGCAAAAUAAAAUUUGACAUGUAGUGUCCAGAUGUAGCUCAAAUAACAAUCAAAUGUAUGUUAUUGGGCAACGAUGGACACUUUCAAGAGGGUUAAAUGACGAGUGGGAACCCCAUUAAUCAAAUUUCCUUCUCUCUUCUCAAUUUUCCAGACAUGUAACAAUCUCUACCACAAUAAACACGGUAGACAUCUGACUUAUGUCUGGUUGUAAAAUCUUGGGCAGUCCCAAAAAUAAAAGAAACUAUAAAAACAUCAUUACAAGAAAAAAUGCAUUUCUUUUUGAAGUACCUUUGAUUUAAGAUAGAGCUCUUUAUCAGAUUUUUUAUCAUCAGAAGCAAAAACUAGAAAACCCCUUUGCUUCUUGUUGAUAAUAUUAUAUCUGUUCUGAUCUCCAAUAGGAAAGAAAACAUGGG